rnacentral:rRNA from 1 species
GCCUAAUACAUGCAAGUUUCGAACGGUGGUAGCAAUACCAUAGUGGCGCACGGGUGCGUAACGCGUAACCAACCUGCCCCGAUCUGGGGGAUAGCCCGCCGAAAGGCGGAUUAAUACCGCAUAACCCAACAAGGUGGCAUCACCUAAUUGGUAAAGAUUUAUUGGAUCGGGAUGGGGUUGCGUGACAUUAGCUAGUUGGCGGGGUAACGGCCCACCAAGGCGACGAUGUCUAGGGGACCUGAGAGGGUGAUCCCCCACACUGGCACUGAGAUACGGGCCAGACUCCUACGGGAGGCAGCAGUAGGGAAUAUUGGGCAAUGGACGAGAGUCUGACCCAGCCAUGCCGCGUGCCGGAUGAAGGCCUUCUGGGUUGUAAACGGCUUUUCUCAGGGAAGAAAAAGGGGAUGCGUCCUCAACUGACGGUACCUGAGGAAUAAGCACCGGCUAACUCCGUGCCAGCAGCCGCGGUAAUACGGAGGGUGCAAGCGUUGUCCGGAUUUAUUGGGUUUAAAGGGUGCGUAGGCGGCUUGUUAAGUCCGGGGUGAAAGCCCACUGCUCAACAGUGGAACUGCCCUGGAUACUGGCAAGCUUGAGUCCAGACGAGGUUGGCGGAAUGGAUGGUGUAGCGGUGAAAUGCAUAGAUACCAUCCAGAACCCCGAUUGCGAAGGCAGCUGACUAGGCUGGUACUGACGCUGAGGCACGAAAGCGUGGGGAGCGAACAGGAUUAGAUACCCUGGUAGU